rnacentral:lncRNA from 1 species
GUAGCACUACUAGUAAAGAGAAGAGAGGAUUCUGUAGCUGUGCUAUGGUAGAUUGAAGGAGUGGACAGUGAUGGGCUGGUAUUUAUGAUGGAAAAUAAGGAUUGGGUUCAGAGUCUCGAAAGAGGCAAAUCGUUCAGUGAGAUGAUUGCUUCUUUCUGCAUGUGUAUUUGUCUCUUUAUUUUGCGUGGUUCAUUACCCUUCUCGCUUACACAUAUAUAUCAUUGCAGAGUACGUGUCGGUGAUUCUCCUCCACGAGAAGCUCAAUUAAUUACUGUUAGUUCUCUCAAGUAGGGUGACAUUGUUCUUGAGGUCCAUCACCUUCAAUGAAGCCUAAGCAGUGAUGAGAACAAUUUGAUGGGAUGAUUCUACAUAGGGCAUAUUUUUAUUGAUAAUGUUGAUUCCCACUAGUUUUCGUUUGUUUCCUUCUCUGUAUUUAUGCCUUAUGUUGAUUAUAUAUAUAAUUUUAACUUAAUUAAUCUACAGUGAUUC